UUUCUCUCUCUCUCUCUCAUUCUCUCUCUCAAAAAAUAUGUAUUAAUUUAGUUCGUAACUUGCUAGUUCUGUCUCAUGAAUGUUGACCUGUUCCUUCAUGUGUUCUCCAAUAAUGCAGGCAGAUUGAAAUUUUACCCUCCCUGACCUACUUGGGAAUUCCAGUCUUGUUUCUAUUCCUGCUUCCUCAUCAAGUUUACCAGAGGUCUUAAAGAAUACUGUAAACUGGCCAUGGACACAGAGGAAUGCAUUGAAUAAGCAAUUGCCCCAGCUAUCCAAACAAGUUCCCCCAUUCUCAACCCCUGCUGGGAGUUUAUGGGUCUCCCCCAAGUACAGGCGCUCUCAUGCACUAUUCUAGUUUUAAUUUCAGUGACCCAAAGACUCCUUUUCCAGUGAAAAAUUCAUGAAGAAACACACAGCUGGAUGGAGUCAUAGGCUAAUGUAGAGGAUAACUGAGUGAGGACAUGGUACAAUGUGACAUAACAUGUGUUUGCAUCCCUGAAAAGACCUGGCGGGGUGAACCUUUCACCACGGAUAUAGGUGCCUUUUGGUUAAGCCACAUUUGCAUAGAUUUCUUGGUCUUCUGGGGCCCAUAUUCUCAGAGCUCAGGACACAGAAGAGGCUUUAUCCCAAAGUACCAAGGUGUACUAUGUAAAGAUAUACCACACAGGUGUUACUCCUUGGGGAAGCUGCAGCUGGACUCUAUUAGAGCAACAGCGUGAAGGUGCCUCAUUAAAUCCCUGUUGUUCUGCAAAUAUCAUCUCUCCCCCAAAAGUCAGGGCUCUAGUCAACAGUGUUGGGAUGUUGCUGGAUACAAGGUCCUUCCUCAAAACAGGCAGAAGUGUGAGCUGAUCAAAUUUCUGACUGAUUUCCUUUGCUAGGACCCUUUGUAGCUGUCACCAAACUAGUUUCAGAGCAGUGAUUAGUUAUUUCUCAAUUCCAUCAACAAAGACCCACCAGUUCACAGUAGUGAGGAUGCAGUGAGACUCCUUCAAUACAGCAAUUGAAAUAACCCAAAAUCAUGGACCUGUGGAGGUGAUGCUGUUUGUCUUCAUCUGACUUCAAGCUGUUGGCUUUGGAAAGUCAGGUGGUUUUGGCAAGCUGCUUUCUUUGGUGAUUUUCACUGAGAAGCUACCUCUCAGACAUGCUUGCUUACAUUCUUGCUACGUUAUGCACAUUGGGAAGAGAAGAUGAAUUUCUACAACUUCAUUCACCAGGAUACAUCAGCAGCUGAACAAAGAGAGGAAAUUCUUCUUCUCUGCCUGAGCCUGCAGAGUGUUGCACUGCUCAGGCUGUGGAUCCCUUGGCUACCAGAGGUAAUCCCAAGCAUCACAACUACAGCUGAGAAAAAAUUCUGAGUCUUCAACCCUUGGGAAAGUCUGACAUUUUCAAAUUUGCUUUAGGUUCCAAAACAUGAGGAUAAAGAAAAAAAAAAUACCCAUAAUUCUUAUUCUGUGGAAAUGUCAAAAGCUAUUUUGUUAUUAUUAUUUGUAAAUGUCAAAAUGUCCUGCUUUGACAUUUAAAAUGUAAACAAUGAAAACGCUUCAUCCCUGAGACGGCCUGCACAGCACCCCUUCCUCUGAGGUCCUACCACCACUUCCUGUCAUGCCUCACCGAUGCAUUGCCUUCUGGGAAUUGUGGUCCCAGACUGCCUAUUCUCCUGUGGGCCCGUAACCUCAAUGCAGUUAAUAAAAUGUAGAGAAACCAACACCUAGAGAGGGAUAAAAAGGGACUUAUUGAGAAGGAGUGACCCAGUUCGGCAACUUGGUGCCAGAGGAUAGAGUCUAGAAAGCCAGAAGGGGGAAUCCUAAAAUAGUUCUGCAUCUCCAUGUGUCCCACCAGAUGUCCCAUCAUUGCACAUCUGCAUGGUGGGUCAGAUUACUGGACAAAUUCCUUGCCUUCAGAAUGUAGCAAGGACUAAGCCAUUUCCUCUUCUGAGUAAAGUUAACUGAGAAGAAAACAUGUCAAUGGAAACUAAGAUUAAUUCAGAGAAAGAAACUAUUCCUUGCUGGAUUUGGAGAGCAAGAAAAGUGUGGGAGAAAGACUUUUUUAAAGCUUGCGUGUUUUACCUGGCAUGAACUGCUCACUAGUGAGCUGUAGGAUUGAUUUGUAUAGUAUCAAUGACUAUAGAAACACAACUGCAGGCAGGAUGGGGAUUCACCAUCUGAGUGUAAGUGCCUUAAUAAAAAAGCUGAAGACUUCAACCCAGUGCGCCAAGGUUCUAUCUCUGUCCAGAGCAGGAAACUUCAUCCCCAGAAGGUGCAAGACCUAAGCAGAAAGUUGCAGCUGAGCGGGGUGGAAAAUGUAGCAGGUGGGUGAAGAAAGCUGGUCCCUUGAGUAAGGAUGGAUUCACAUAUGAUCUUCACUAGAGUGCAGCUAGCUGUGCCGUUAGCACUUGACUGCAGGCUGCCAUCAAAAACAAAUGAAUGGAUCGAGCUUGUAACUCGGAGCAGGUCAGGAUGAUGUGAAGGAGAAGCGGGAGCAUUGCACUUGUUCACAUUGCCUCUCUGGAAGAGGAAGAAGCCAUCCCCUGUUUCCCAAGCAGUGCCUGCAGCCUCCUCCAGCCAUGUUUCAGCUGACCUCCAGCAGGAUGACGGGCCACCAGAGGCCCAACGAACGCCAAUGGCUCAGAGCUGUCCGCCAGCAGAGCUAAUGGCCCAGGCCUUGCUGGCAAGAGAGCAGAGAGCAAUAAAUGUCCCAGAGAUGCUGCUGAGUCGAUCCGUUUCCUGCACGCAAGCUGCACAUUGUAAAAACUGAGGCUCGGAUUCUUUUUCCUGUUUGCACUGGAGCAGACCGCAGAAAUUGCACAAUCCUCCAGGCCAGACCCAAGGUGAAUCGUGAGAUGAUGGAUUCCAAGGCAAUAUUUCACACUUGCUGAAAAAGCGAUACAGCCCAGGGGAAGGGACUGUAAUUAGGGAGAGCAGUGACAGCCCACAGACAAAGUAGUUCCAUAAGCAGAGGAAGAAAUGAAAGCUCGUUUCCAAAAGCUCUCACUUGCAUGGAUUCUCCAGUGCUCAAUAAAAGGUGUGAUCCCCAAGCAA